rnacentral:rRNA from 1 species
GACGAACGCUGGCGGCGUGCCUAAUACAUGCAAGUAGAACGCUGAAGAGAGGAGCUUGCUCUUCUUGGAUGAGUUGCGAACGGGUGAGUAACGCGUAGGUAACCUGCCUUGUAGCGGGGGAUAACUAUUGGAAACGAUAGCUAAUACCGCAUAACAAUGGAUGACACAUGUCAUUUAUUUGAAAGGGGCAAUUGCUCCACUACAAGAUGGACCUGCGUUGUAUUAGCUAGUAGGUGAGGUAAUGGCUCACCUAGGCGACGAUACAUAGCCGACCUGAGAGGGUGAUCGGCCACACUGGGACGGAGACACGGCCCAGAAUCCUACGGGAGGCAGCAGUAGGGAAUCUUCGGCAAUGGGGGCAACCCUGACCGAGCAACGCCGCGUGAGUGAAGAAGGUUUUCGGAUCGUAAAGCUCUGUUGUAAGUCAAGAACGGGUGUGAGAGUGGAAAGUUCACACUGUGACGGUAGCUUACCAGAAAGGGACGGCUAACUACGUG